rnacentral:lncRNA from 1 species
AUCUUUGACCCAGCAAUACUAUGAUUAGUCUUGUGUCCCAUAGAGAUUAAAGAUAGGGGGACAAGACCUAACAAAAUUAUUUAUAGCAGCUUUUUUGUGGUAGCAAAGAACUGGAAACUGAAGGAAUGUCCAUCAAUUGGGUAAUGGUUGAACAAGUAGUAUAUGAUUGUAAUGGAAUACUAUUGUGUCAUAAGAAAUGACAAACAAGAUGAUUGCAAAAAAAAAAAACCCUAGAAAGAAUUAUAUGAAGUUAUGCAAGGUGCAGAACCAGGAGAAUGCUGUAUAUAAUAACAACAAUAAUGUAUGAUGAUUAACUACAAAUGGCUUAACUAUUAUUGGGUAGGGCAAGGAUUCAGGACAACUCUAAAGUACUCACAACAACAACAACAAAAACAAAGUCUAUCUACCACCAGAGAAGGAACAGAUGGAGUCUGAAUGAAGAUUGAAACAUACCAUUCAUCAUUUUAUUUCUUCCAUGACUUUUUCUCUAGUGACCUGGCACCUGAGCUGAGUCUUGGAGAGAACGAGGGGCUCCCUGUGGCAAAGGAAAAAAAAGAAGGAACAUUACAGAAAUGACAAAGUCAGAGCAUUGGGAGACGGAGUAUCACAUAGAGGAACAGCAGUUUCCUCACCUGAAUAUGAGUUGGAGAAGGACAUGGAAAACCAUUCCAGUAUCUCUGCCAAGAAACUCCAAAUGGAUCAUGGAGAGUAAAACUUGACUGAAAUAAACAAAUGAACAAAUAACUAAACA